rnacentral:rRNA from 1 species
UUCCGGGUGAUCCCGCCGGACCCCACUGCUAUCGGGAUAGGACUAAGACAUGCUAGUCGUGUGCCUCAGCCAAAACGAGGCACGGCGCACAGCUCAGUAACACGUGGCUAACCUGCCCUUAGGACGAGAAUAACCCCGGGAAACUGGGGCUAAUGCUCGAUAGGUGAAGAACUCUGGAAUGAGUCUUCACUUAAAAGAGUCUGCGUUAUGCUCGUAGAUUUCGCUUAAGGAUGGGGCCGCGACCGAUCAGGUUGUUGGUGAGGUAGUGGCUCACCAAGCCUUUUACCGGUGCGGGCCGUGAGAGCGGGAGCCCGGAGAUGGGCACUGAGACAAGGGCCCAGGCCCUACGGGGCGCAGCAGUCGCGAAAACUUUGCAAUACACGAAAGUGUGACAGGGCUAUCCCGAGUGCCAUCCGCUGAGGAAGGCUUUUACCCAGUCUAGAACGCUGGGGGAAUAAGGAGAGGGCAAGUCUGGUGUCAGCCGCCGCGGUAAUACCAGCUCUCCGAGUGGUGUGGAUGUUUAUUGGGCCUAAAGCAUCCGUAGCUGGCUAAGUUAGUCCCCUGUUAAAUCCAACGAAUUAAUCGUUGGAUCGCGGGGGAUACUGCUUGGCUAGGGGACGAGAGAGGCAGACGGUAUUUCCGGGGUAGGGGUGAAAUCCUAUAAUCCCGGGAAGACCACCAGUGGCGAAGGCUGUCUGCUAGAACGCGCCCGACGGUGAGGGAUGAAAGCUGGGGGAGCGAACCGGAUUAGAUACCCGGGUAGUCCCAGCUGUAAACGAUGCAGGCUAGGUGUUUGGACGGCCACGUGCCGUUCUAGUGCCGCAGGGAAGCUGUUAAGCCUGCCGCCUGGGGAGUACGAUCGCAAGAUUGAAACUUAAAGGAAUUGGCGGGGGAGCACCACAAGGGGUGAAGCUUGCGGUUUAAUUGGAGUCAACGCCGGA